AACGAACGCUGGCGGCAUGCCUAACACAUGCAAGUCGAACGAGACCUUCGGGUCUAGUGGCGCACGGGUGCGUAACGCGUUGGAACCUGCCCUUAGGUUCGGAAUAACUCCCCGAAAGGGGUGCUAAUACCGGAUAAUGUCUUCGGUCCAAAGAUUUAUCGCCUUUGGAUGGUCCCGCGUUGGAUUAGCUAGUUGGUAGGGUAAAAGCCUACCAAGGCGACGAUCCAUAGCUGGUAUGAGAGGAUGAUCAGCGACACUGGGACUGAGACACGGCCCAGACUCCUACGGGAGGCAGCAGUGGGGAAUAUUGGACAAUGGGCGAAAGGCUGAACCAGCAAGGACGCGUGAGUGAUGAAGGCCUUAGGGUUGUAAAGCUAUUUUACCCGGGAUGAUAAUGACAGUACCGGGAGAAUAAGCACCGGCUAACUCCGUG
rnacentral:rRNA from 1 species